rnacentral:rRNA from 12 species
CUGGGCAAUCGGUGGACUGCCAUGGCCCCACAUGAAAGAUCUCGAGCGAAAGAGGUGGCCAGAUGCGCAUCAGGUGUGGAACAAGAUAAAGUGCGUAAGCCGGUG